GACGAACGCUGGCGGCGUGCCUAAUACAUGCAAGUCGAGCGCAGGAAAUCGACGGAACCCUUCGGGGGGAAGUCGACGGAAUGAGCGGCGGACGGGUGAGUAACACGUAAAGAACCUGCCCUCAGGUCUGGGAUAACCACGAGAAAUCGGGGCUAAUACCGGAUGGGUCAUCGGACCGCAUGGUCCGAGGAUGAAAGGCGCUUCGGCGUCGCCUGGGGAUGGCUUUGCGGUGCAGUAGCUAGUUGGUGGGGUAAUGGCCCACCAAGGCGACGAUGCAGAGCCGACCUGAGAGGGUGAUCGGCCACACUGGGACUGAGACACGGCCCAGACUCCUACGGGAGGCAGCAGUAGGGAAUCUUCCACAAUGGACGAAAGUCUGAUGGAGCAACGCCGCGUGAACGAUGAAGGCCUUCGGGUCGUAAAGUUCUGUUGUAAGGGAAGAACAAGUGCCGCAGGCAAUGGCGGCACCUUGACGGUACCUUGCGAGAAAGCCACGGCUAACUACGUGCCAGCCGCCGCAGUAA
rnacentral:rRNA from 1 species